AGUUUGCUUGCAAACUGAGGAUGGCGACCGGCGCACGGGUGAGUAACACGUAUCCAACCUGCCGAUAACUCCGGGAUAGCCUUUCGAAAGAAAGAUUAAUACCGGAUGGCAUACGAAUAUCGCAUGAUAUUUUUAUUAAAGAAUUUCGGUUAUCGAUGGGGAUGCGUUCCAUUAGUUUGUUGGCGGGGUAACGGCCCACCAAGACUACGAUGGAUAGGGGUUCUGAGAGGAAGGUCCCCCACAUUGGAACUGAGACACGGUCCAAACUCCUACGGGAGGCAGCAGUGAGGAAUAUUGGUCAAUGGGCGAGAGCCUGAACCAGCCAAGUAGCGUGAAGGAUGAAGGCUCUAUGGGUCGUAAACUUCUUUUAUAUGGGAAUAAAGUUUUCCACGUGUGGAAUUUUGUAUGUACCAUAUGAAUAAGGAUCGGCUAACUCCGUGCCAGCAGCCGCGGUAAUACGGAGGAUCCGAGCGUUAUCCGGAUUUAUUGGGUUUAAAGGGAGCGUAGGUGGAUUGUUAAGUCAGUUGUGAAAGUUUGCGGCUCAACCGUAAAAUUGCAGUUGAAACUGGCAGUCUUGAGUACAGUAGAGGUGGGCGGAAUUCGUGGUGUAGCGGUGAAAUGCUUAGAUAUCACGAAGAACUCCGAUUGCGAAGGCAGCUCACUAGACUGUUACUGACACUGAUG
rnacentral:rRNA from 1 species